GGUCCGACGGGAGGAAGGGGUAGCUCUGUGACUCGGAUGCCUGAUGUCACAUCCCGUCGGGUUAAUGAGAAACCACUGACGGUAGAGUUUGAUCCCCGAACAUUUGUGCCUAUUGGGGCACAUGCAACAUCGUUCAAAAGUUACUUGGGCGUGAUGGAAAAAGCACAUGUCCCUAUUAUCGCUACCUGUUGGGAUGAUGUCCCACAGGUUGACAAAAAUCUACUAUGGCAGGAUAUUUUGGAAAAUUGGAAUAUCCCUAAUGAUGAGAGGAUAAGGAAGAAGAUUUUAUCCCACAUUGCAGUCCAGUGGAGGGACUUCAAGACGAGAAUGACACGUCAAUACGUCUUUGGCUCUAAACAGAACGACACUCCUUGUACAAAAUAUAAAAUAACUGAGGAGGAGUGGGUGCAGUUUAAAGAAUCUAGACUUACUCCUGAGUGACAGGUGAAAAGGAUAGUCCCCCAACAGAGGCAGAAGCUUAAUGAUACACCACACGUACUGUCACGUGGUAGUUAUGCGUUAUUAGAGAAAAAGAUGAGAAAACGUCGCGCUGAGGAGUAGGUCUUGAGCCACCUAAUCUAGCACCUCCACCAGCCAGACAUGAAUUGUGGAAGGCUGCACGGACAAAGUUCAAUGGCCAGUUUACGUCCGAGUCUGGUCAAGAGAUAUCCCAAAGAAUUGUAAGUGGAAACUUUUAACUGAUUAACAUAGUUCAUAAAAAAAUUAUGUAACAAACUUUUUAAUGUGUCUAGCUUCAUUAUGAUAUGCAAGAUGACUUGGUUGACCAACAGAGUUAAGGCACAUUUGUGGCACAAGGUAGGGAGAACCUCCUAAUAGCAGCCACAGGUCGGCUAAACCGCCCAGGUCGUGUGCGUAGUGUUGGAGGAGCUAUUGGAUUGAGGGACUACUUUGGCCCUAAACCAAGAAGCACAAUGUAAGACCCUAGAACCUCAAGAAUUUAUCGAGUUGUAAAAAGUUCAAGUUAUAAGGUAAAAUAGAAUGUUGUCAAAGUUUGACAUGGUUUACUAUUUUAAUUAUAACUUUUUGUAGAAAAUAUCAAUUGAGUUGAUUCUUUUUUGAUUGGAUAGUAGACUCAUAGAGCUUCGAUUUGAGUACUCAUACGCGUAUUUUUGACUUCGGGAAGGCGGUCAAUCGGACAGUCAAAGUUGCGAUAAUGUUGGUCCCUUGGGUCGGAGAGGAGCGUGGGCAGACCUCCUUUCCAAUUAUUAAGUGCUUCUUAGUGGAUUAAGGGGCCAUGGUGUCUCUUGGGCAGAUCUACAAGUGUGGGAAAAAGAGGAUAUGGGUUCUGCACUUGUGGGAGUGAAGUCGUUGCUGCAAAAUCCGUAAGAGAGGUGAACUUGAGAGCUUUUGGAGUUGCAAGGAGGCCAAGGUGCUGCAAGUCUUGUGGAGAUGGAUUCCAGGUUUACAAAGGAAGUCUUCAAGAGGUAAGGGGUUUAACUUAGGAUAUAACAUAGUGUAUGAUGGGUAGAAAGUAAGGGGAGCUAGAGUUUGGUUAAAAUUUGUUGUAUGCUAUGUAUGAUGUUUUGCAGAAAUUACGUUUGUUGAUGUUGGUUGCAAACUGGUUUGAGGGUUUUAAAGGAUAGAAAUGAAAUUGGGCAACUUGUAGAAGUGAAUUUGGAUUUUUAAAGUGUCAAAAGUGGUUUGAUACACCUAGUCUUGGAUCUAGUGAUCAAAUGGAUGUUUGUUUUAACUUAUAAACGUGUUUUUCCAUCAAUACAAAUGUGUAAAGAACCCCUUUAGUCAUUAAAACAGGUUCCAAGUGCAUCAAAAGUCAAAUUUCAUGGUUGUUGUCAACUGGUAUGGGGCUGGGCGCCCUCUAGUUCGCCCUGAGCACCCCUGGAUGCGAGGCGGUUCGCGCCGAGCGCCCCCCGAGGGCCCCUGGGCGUACCAGCACGUUGUUGUCUUUGUUUUUUAUAGCUUUUGGGGUUUCGGAUGUCCAUUUUGGACGUUCCUUAGGUCGUUUUGGGGGUUUUGAACCUGUCUCGAACUGUUGGUGAUGGUUUCAAAGCCAUUUUCUUUGUCUAAGUAUGAGUUACGGGAUUUUUUGUUGUUUAGUGGUUCUCUUGGGACUGUUAUUGUUUGGUAAUGUGUAUUGGAUUGAUUAAUGUUGUUUGCUUAACAAAUUGUCAUGUACGGUUAUGUAUGAGACUUGGGUGAUUGGAAAGAACAUGGUUGUGAACUAUAAUUAUGUAUUUGAGUAUGAAUUGGACAUCUCAGGGUGAGAUGAUUGGAAGUGGUUUUGCAAGGUAUUCGUAGAAAGUGGUGCCCAGCCCCCUUCUGUUGCGCCCAGGCGCGAGGUAAUUUUCGUUGUUCCUUCAAAACACUUGCUUUUUGUGGGUAUAUGUGGUUGAUGAAAAACAGUGACGAAGAAUGAAAGUUUGGGGUCUUGAGUGGAAGAAGAACAUGAAGGAAGAAUUAUGAAAGUGGAAGGUGAAGAUGGGCACAUUACAAUAGAGGCAAGGAGAAGUUAAUGAGAGUCUUGGGGUAGGAGUUGAGAAAGAAAGGAAUAGAGUAGAGUCUUGGAGUUGACUUGGAAUGUUAUGGAAAUGAAGAAAAAGGAGAAUAGUGAAAUGAAAAUUGUAGUGUUUAGGUGUGUGGAGAAGGGGUUACAUGGAUGGGACGUAAAUGAGGUGAGGAAUGAGUGUGAAGUUGGGAUUGAAAAGUCAAGGAGAGAUUAAACAAAUUAGAAAUAAGUGUUGAUGGAUUUAAUGAAAUGAAGAGAGGAAAACAAGGAGAAAGUGGUGUAUAAUAUGAUGGGGUCUUGAGUGUUGGUGGAUUUAAUUUAAGAAAAAAAAAGGGUAUGGUGGUUGGGUGAAGAAGAGUGGUUACGUAACUUUGGUGUGAGGAAGAAAUUGUUUGGUCUGAAAAGUCAAAUAAAGUGGGAAGUGGGAUCCAUGGUUUUAUGAGAAAAGAUGAGUGAAUGAAAUUUAUGUAUUGAAAACAAAAGAGAAAGAGAAAGAAGUGAAGGGUUACGUAAAUAGAGAAAGAGAGAGUUGGUAAGAAAUGAGUAGUUUCAUGUAGGACCUACUUGGAAUUAAGAGAAAAUAUAAUUUAAAGGUUUUGGGGUUCACUUGAAGAGUUAGAUGUAGAAGUGAUGGGGAAGUGCAUACCUAGAGAGAAUAUACUAAAUGACAUUUAAGAGAAUGGGAAAGAAAUUAAAAAUGGAAGAGAUUAGAGAAAAGGAAACUUAGGAAUUGAAGAUGCGCCACUUGAACAAUCUUCCAAGAUAAGCAUCAAGAGGAGGACCGCCACUUGGUUGAACAAGAUAAGGUCUGCCCAAAUUUGGGACUUUAGAGACAGAAUUCUAUCUCCAAUAAGAUUGCAAAAGUGCAAAUCAACUCAAAUUCAUUGAAUCAAGGUAAGGUGUACAAAAAGGAGACCCCUAAGCCUUCUUAUAUAACCUUUGGAGUGAGCUAAGAUGCAAGAUCUAGGAGAUGUGGGACUUUUGAGGGUGUAGUCCGUUCAGCAGCUGCUACAGGUCUUCUAGGGACUUUUGAGUCCCACAUUGCUCAAUUCUCUCCACUCCAAAGGGUUUAUAAGGCAACUAGUUCUCCUAUAGUUCAAAAUAUGACAACUAGCUAUGCCAUUAACUCCUACACGCCUAGAAUGCUCACUUUCUCUUCUCUUCUUUUUAAGAUCAAGCCAUGGAUAGUCCCACAUUGCUUGCUCUUAAAGAGAAAGAAGAGUUUAUAAGCAAUUAUUCACAAGAACUAAGAGAAAGAAAUCAAAAGGCAAAUACAUGCCCAAAGGAAACCUAUUCUACUUGAAAUGUGUUGGGAAUUUAGUAAAAGUGGGGGUGCACUUGAAAUGUUGUUCUAGUUUAUGGAAGUGUGAAAUUAGUAAUUUCAGAGGAGUGUGGCAGUAGGAUAAAUAAUUAAAUUAAGUUAUUUAAUUAUUUGUUAGUCAAUGAAUUUUCUUGAAUCGAUGGUGUUCGUAUUGCGAUACGAUAGUGUAUUGAGUCUCUACGGAGACUAAGGUUCGAGUGUGAUGGUUGUGAUGGUAAAAUUGUGAGAGCAAGCGUUCUGCCAUUUCCUUAGAAUUUUUGUCGAAUCGAUGGUGUUCGUAUUGCGAUACGAUAGUGUGUUGAGUCUCUGCGGAGACUGAGAUUCGAGUGUCACCCUUUCCUCAUGCGCGGGGACUAGAGAGGGUUGGAUGUCUCGCCCAAUGACUUCGGCUCGUGUGAGUAUAGUGCUCGGUGGGUGCGCCUAACCGAAGUUUUUACUCGUAAUUCCUUGAGGAGUCGGACAGAUAGGUCUGAAGUUGCGAUGGAAGACGGCUCGAAUCGCCCUGUUUUGCGAAACAGGUUUGGUACGACAAAAUUCAAGGAAACAAUAGAAGCUUGAGGAAACGAUUGAGUCGUGAGUUUAAUACUGUGAUGUAUUGUAAUAUUGUGACUUGAUAGUCUGAGUAGUGAUGAUCUGAGUUAAUAAUAUUGUGACUUUGAUAGUCUGAGUGGUGAUGAUCUGAGUUAUGAGUUGAAUAUUGCGUUGUAAUGUAAGGUUGUGACUAGGAAAAUCUAAGUUGUGAUAUUUUGAUAAUGAAAUUAUAUGCUAUGUUAGGUUCUUCGUUACUCACCCUGAAAUGUUGUGGUUGUGGUUUCCACCUACGAUGAUCGUACUUGUACGGGAGUAGAUGGCGUUGUAGAUGAGGCAGAGAUGAAGUAGCACGACGAGAGUUAUGGGAAAUACUAUGGGGAAUUUAUCAUGUUUUAAAGUAAUUUUAUGUUUUUGAAUAAUGAAUUUUAUAUUUGUAAGGUUUUAACCUUAUGUUGUAAGACGCCUAGACUUUUGAUAUUUAGUUUCGCGAUGUUAAUCUAAAAAAAAAAAACUGGCGUAAAAUUUUGGAUUUUGUUAUUUUCUAGUGGUACUCCGUAAGGGGUGUUACACACAGAAGUCGUGGCUCAGGAAAUGGUUAGUAGCAUCAGGCAACAGGUGCAAGUCGAAUUAGAGGAAAGCAUGGGUGAAUGCUUCAGAAUGGUCGAAGAAAAACUUGCGAUGAUCACCCAACCACAACAACAACAGCAACAACAACAACAACAACAAUAGCAACAACAACAAGAGCAACAACAACAGUCACAGCAGGAGGACGCCCCUACAAAUGAUCCUACUACACCUCGUGUGAGCACCAAAGGCUCAUACUCUACUGCAGAUCGUACUAAUUACAAUAUUCAGUAUGAGUUUUUCGUUGAUAAGGAUCCUCCGCGCGUAGUGGUCGUGUGAUGACAGAUUGCAGGAGGCCAGACCAUUCAUAGUGCUCCUUUAUUGCCCACUCACGCGCGGGUAAUGAUUGAUGAUCCAAGAGACCCCCAGGCUCGAGUGCUAGUGCCUACAUCUGAAAUCCAAUUCGUGGGGGAGGCCUUAGGCACAUUUAUAGCUUGGCCUAAGGCUAUGAUCAUGCCAUAUUUUGGCCCAUCAGCGGUCUACCGUUCUGAGAAACAACCAAUUGCUCAACUUGUGAACAAGGCUCGUGAGGAAGCAAAAGACCAUGAUGCUAUAUCCAUAUUGACCUCCAGAUUAAAUAAGUUGAGAAAAGGACCGGUAGAGAUGUUGUGGGAGUUAAGAACAUUUGGCCUUGAGUUCCAUGUUCCAUUGUAUAUUAAUUUCGAUGAUGCUUAUGAGAUCAUUGGUGGAGAAAAAAUGCUCAACAUUUCAUCC